UGUAUGAACAAAUCUAUGGAGAAUAAUAUAAAUUAUAUCUUGGGACCUCGUCUAACAGCUUAAGCUACUAGGUUGAAUUGGUUCUUUGAC